GACGAACGCUGGCGGCAGGCCUAACACAUGCAAGUCGAGCGGAGCGGCGGACGGGUGAGUAAUGCCUAGGAAUCUGCCUGGUAGUGGGGGAUAACGUCCGGAAACGGGCGCUAAUACCGCAUACUAUCAGAUGAGACUAGGUCGGAUUAGCUAGUGGGGGGGGAAAAGGCCUACCAAGGCGACGAUCCGUAACUGGUCUGAGAGGAUGAUCAGUCACACUGGAACGGAGACACGGUCCAGACUCGUACGGGAGGCAGCGGUGGGGAAUAUGGGACAAUGGGCGAAAGCCUGAUCCAGCCAUGCUGCGUGUGUGAAGAAGGUCGUCGGAUUGUAAAGCACUUUAAGUUGGGAGGCGUUACCAACAGAAUAAGCACCGGCUAACUUCGUGCCAGCAGCCGCGGUAAUUC
rnacentral:rRNA from 1 species